UACGGAGGGUGCAAACGUUGCUCGGAAUCAUUGGGCGUAAAGCGCACGUAGGCGGACUGUUAAGUCGGAUGUGAAAUCCCUCAGCUUAACUGAGGAAGUGCACUCGAAACUGGCAGUCUUGAAUAUGGAAGAGGGUCGCGGAAUUCCCGGUGUAGAGGUGAAAUUCGUAGAUAUCGGGAGGAACACCAGUGGCGAAGGCGGCGACCUGGGCCAAUAUUGACGCUGAGGUGCGAAAGCGUGGGGAGCAAACAGG
rnacentral:rRNA from 1 species